GAGGAGGGAGAAGAAAAGGUCUUCCUAGAUUGAGACAGUUGUGAUCAUCCACUGGUGCCCUCUGAGGUUGGUUAAUGUUCAGAGCUGACCUUUUCUCUCUAAUGGCCUGAUCUGUGGACCCUUAACUAAUUGUCUUUGGGGAACAUUUGACUACACCUCUGUUAACAGGAAGUAUUAGUUACCUAUUACCACAUAGAUACAUAUAAAAUACCCUUAAAACAAAACUAUUUAUUACCUCACAUUCCUGAGCCCAGGAAUCCAGGAUCAGUUUAGCUGGGUGGUUCUGGCUCAGGGUGUCCCAGAAAACUUUGCUAGGGAAUCAGUCAUCUGAAGAUUUGACUAGGAUGGAAAAAUAUUUCUAAAAUGGCUUAAUCAACACAGCUGUUGGCUUGAGGCUUCAGUUCCUAGCUAUGAGAUACUCUCCUUAGGAUUGCUCCAGUGUCCUUAUAACAUGGCAGGGGGUUUCUUAUAACACCCUCCUUCACCCCAGCUUGAAGUCCUUUGGAGGAAAGUCCCUUUUAAGGCAACCUCCAUCUGAUCACUCCAAAAGAAGAUUCACCUGGUUUACAAUACCAAAGUAGUCCCCAAAGUAGCCACUUCUCUUUGCUUCACUACUAGGAAAUAGCAAAACCUCUUGUCCUUAAGAUUCUUGAGAUGUGGGUCAGACAUGAGGUCCAGGAGCACAUACUUAUCUCUUAAAUGGACUCUCUCCAGCCUUCCUCGCUAGUCUUGGGAUGAAUAAACAUCAUACACAGAAGAGGUAGGGCAGGGAAAAUGCCAUGACAUUAUAAAAACUUUCUUCUCAGCCCAGUACCCACCUCAAAGAUAUCAAAACAGUUGACAUUGAAGAGGUCAGGAGCCAAUAAAAACACUUAGAUCACACCCUUUGAAAUGUCUGUAUGAAGUUUUUGCCACCUACUUUGUGCUAUUGAAAGCUUCAUCCAAAAGUGAGAGUACACAUUCUGUUUAAACAUUUUGUUAUACAAGGGUAAGGAUUUUGUCAGUGCGAGUGUUAGCUCUACUCUGCAUUUUGAAAGGUGUUUGUCUUUGGGUUUCCCAAGAGAGACCCAAAGGCAAGGACUUGACGGCAAGCGGUUUAUUUGGGAAGUAAUACCAGGAAAUAGUUGUAGGGAAAUGGAAGAAAAUAAAGGAGCAAAUAAAUGCUGUAUUAUAAAAUUAUUUACUACUGUGGGCAAUGGGAGCUGAAUCCUCUGAGAAAUUCCUGGAAACAGCAAAAAAUAUACCUACCGUUGUCCACUACCAAAGGACAAAAAUGCCUGUGUAUUUAUAUACCAACUUCCUGUUCAUCAUUGAUUGAGGAGACUGCUUUCUGGGCAUUAAUUAACUCUCUAAAACUUCUGGUUUGCACUACUUGGAGGCUGAAUACCAAGCUAUCCCUGGUAGAGGGUUUCAGGCAUUGGGAGAACAGACUGCCCCAUGCAGAGUGAGUGCCAAGGGGAUGUAGACUGGGUAUCAGUAGUAUCUGUGAUAUCAAGUGACCUUGGAAAUUUAGAAAUAAAUGUUUUGUCCUCCCACAGUUUUUGUCCUUGAAUCAACCCCUGCCUGCUCCAAAUACAAAGACCAACUCUAUAAUGCCUUGCUUCAGAUAUCUUGGCAGAAACUGGAAAUAGAAGCAGCUAGAAUCAAUGUCUUUCCUUACUUUUUUUAAAGGCUGAACUCUACAGAAAAGAAAACAGUUGUCUGUAGGGGAAAGAAGAGAGAGCAAGAACAAAGAAAGGAGAGAUUCUGGAAAAAAAAAAAUCAUCAGAUCCCUUUAUAAGCAAGUCUUAGCACACUGCUCAGUUGCAGAACCCAUAGAGAUGGAUUCAACAAAAGUGGACUAUAUUCUAGGCAUGGAAAAUACUGCUUUCACAGAGCUUAAAUUCUAAUUGGGGCAAGUGGGGUGGUGAGAGGAAUAGAAAAUAUCAAAUAUUAAAAUAUAAGCUAUGCUAUACAGAAAAUAAACCAAAAUGAUGUGAUAGAGGGAGAGUGAUUACUUUAUAUUGGGUGGUCUCAAAGCUUCCUCUGAGCACAUAGUUGAACUUAGACCUUAAUUUUAAAAAUGAGCCAAUCAUGGGAAGAUCUGAAGAAAGAUGAACAGAGAGGACAGAAUUUAGCCUUAGCAUUUAGGCUUAGCUCACCUAAGACUUUAGGAGCAUUCUAUAAUCCUUAGGGGAAGAAAACCCCAAUAAUAAUUAAGACAUAUUUUUACCAACCCAGUUGGAUAGGCGCUCAAACAGAAUAAACUUGCUCUAAGGGGAAAAAAAGACAAUAAUAUAUUGUUUUGCAUCCCUGAGUGUACAAAAUGCUUCAUACUAAGGAUGAAAAGGAGAAAACUACAUAUGAGAAAGAUGAAAACAUGUAGUGACAGAUACGUUUAAGCAGCCUUAGUGGAUUAAUUUCACUAAAUUGAAUGUGAUCUCCACUAGCUCACUAUAAACUUAGUGUUGUCAUCCCCAAUUCACAUGUAAAGAAAAUGAGGAUCAAAAUAACAAAGAGACUUGCCCCAAUAACAGAGUUAUUGAGUAUCGCAUUUGGAGUUAAGACGCAAUCUCUCUGCAAAAGUCAUUUUCCACCAUUUUGCUCACUUUCCUCUAUCAACCAUCACACUGAGCCUCUCUGGGUCCCAGCUUCCUUUUAUCUACUUGUCUAUUCAUCUAAUAUUGAGCACCUACCCUAUGUAAGGUUGUGAGCUGAGGGCUGUUGAGGGCCAAUGAGGGCAGGUAAUUACACAUAAAUAGUAUGCAGUUCCUACCCACAAAUGAGCUUGAAAUAUGGCAGUGUACAUAUUCUAAAACACAAAUAAUUUUUCCAAGUUAUGAAGGAAGGGUAAAGUUAGGGUGCAGGGAGAUAGUCGGGGGUUAACAUGCUCAGUGUAAGUAAGCACAGUCUACUACGUGUGAGCUUCCCAGUCUCCAGACUGCACUUGGAGCCAUUUGUGAAAUUUUUUCCCUAGUUAUGGGAUGCAUAGGAGGGUCCUCUUAGGUGUGGCAGUCAAUGUAAGCUGUGCUGAAAGCUACUUUUGAAUAUGCAUCCUGGGUGCAAGGAGAGUUAAUCCAUAGUGGUACUUCCAGUGGCAGGAGGAUGCUCUGAGAAACUUUUACCUACCUAAUAUUUAAAGUUAUCUUACUUUGAUUUGAGCCAUUUUUCCAGUCUAAUCUCCUGUUAAUCUCUUCCUUGAACCCUAAUUUUCAAGUCAACCCAGUUUUAUACUUCUCCAUAAUAGUAUCCUAAAUUUAUCUUUCUUUCAUGCUUUCCUCUUUUGCUAAAACAAAUUCAUCCUAUUCUCUGAAAGAGAUGAUGCAGCAUUCUUGAUGAUUCAGCUGGGAUUCCUAUAUUCAGAGAGAGCAAGGGUUGAGGUGGGAAUGGGAGAGGGGUGCCUAUAAUCCUAAAUUCAAAAUUUUAGAAACCUGAGUUCAAUCUCCUACAAUGAAGCUUGCAUGGCUACAUGACUUUACAAAGUGAAAGACCUCACCUCUCUCUGGACCUUCAGUUUGUUCAUCUUAAAAUAUAGAAUGAGACUUGCCUACCUGGCAGGGCAGCUACAAGAUUCAAGAUAAUGAUUGCAAAAUGCUUUGAAAAUUGUGAAGCAAUCCUUUAUGCAUGUGUUUGCUUAUGCAAACGUAAGGAAUUGUCAUUAGUAUUCAGGAUCUUCUUAGCUGAUAUGUUUUUGCAAGAGUUUGGCUAGAAUCAUGAUUAAGAUAUGUCCCAGCUGAGUAGCUUCUUCCACUGCAGCUUCAUCCAAUAGCCACAAAGGGGAUAAAACAGGCCUUUUGUGAUUGUUUUUCACAUAGUUGGAAGCAUUUCAAAGCAUCGGAUUUUUUUUAGUGAGCUCUGCUUUAUUUGCAUUAAAUCUAGUUCCAUCCAUGCCAAAGAAAUACUAUAAACUUAUGAUUCCAAAGUUAAUAGUUUAAAAUAAAAAUAUAUAUCCUACAAUUUUUUUUUAAAAUUCAGGAUUUGAAAAGAAUUCAUAUAUCACUGACAAUACCGAUGAAUCACAUUCAAAGGGAGAAAGGAGGAAGCAAUUUUGGUUAAACAGGAAGUUUUUCUAGGCUGAUAAUGAAGUGUAAAGCUUUCUCCUUGACUGGCAGAAAAAUAUAACUAGAUCCAGUCAAUUAAUCCAUCAAUAAAUCCAUGAACAAAUAAACAUAGACUAGAAAGAAAAAAUAAUGUAGAACUUGAAGGAGAGAUUACUACCUGAAGGACACUGGAGAAGGAACAGUUUAGGGAAGAGAAUGAUGAAUUCGCUUUGGAACACAUUGAUUUUCAAGUGCCUUUGAAAGUGGAGUUUGGAUAUGCAAAGCUAAACUCAGAAGCGAUGAGUCAAGCUUGAAAUAAAAAUAUGGCAGACAUCGCCAGAUAGCUGUUGAAACGCUGGGAGGGGAGUUGAUGAGUGAAGGGUAUGAAUGCAGCAUGGAGGAAUCAGGACAAAGACGUGUAUCCAGCAAAGAAGGCUGGAAAGAGGCAGCCAGAAAUGUGGUAAGUAAGUGAAUGUGGUAUUACAGAGCCAAGGGAAAAGCAAACUGAAACAGAGGGCCAGUCUGAUGAAUCUAGUGUCAGGAGAACUAUUGAUAGUGGUUCAUUGGAUUCAGCAACAUGAAGGUAACUCAAGUGAGUGUCACCGUGGUGGAAUUAUAGGGCAGAAGCAGAUUGGAAGGGAUUGAAGAAAGAAUGAAAAGUAAAAUGGGGACAGAAGAGAUAACUUUUUACAAGAAAUUCAGCAAUUAGGGGAAGGGGAGAAAGGUAGGAGAGGAAUGUGGGGUAUUGAGGGUCUGUUGAUAAAACUGGAAGAAACUGGGGCAUGGGUGAUUUUUGACAGAAGCUGUGAACUGGAGAUGGGCACUUGCCGUCUGCCUCUACAUGGACUGACUCAUGAGCCACUGCAACUGCUGACCCAGCAUCCCCAGAAAGGAGCUCAGGGUGGAGAUCAGAAGAGAGGUACUUUGUGCUCUAAGAAAAUGGGCAGAACAGUUCUUUAGGUAGAUAUCUUUAGGAGAAGAUUUUAUGAACCCAAUUCUUACAUUUCCUUGUAUUUAGAAAAGCACUAAAAUCCUUAAUGGUGAUAUCUGCUGCUCAUGACUAGCAGUAACCUUCAUGAACCUAGCAGCGACCGUCUGUAAAAUGUGUGCUUGAUUGCAUGUUCCUGCCCCUUCACCAGAAUCACAUAUUGUAUUGACAGUCACCCUUGCCUCUUCCAAGAGGUAUUUCAGAACUAUCUGAAAUUUUGCCUCCAGGGCUAUAGUCCUCAUUUUGCCUGCUCCCCCCUACCCCAUUUUGCCUGCCCCC
rnacentral:lncRNA from 1 species